rnacentral:rRNA from 1 species
GAUGAACGCUGACAGAAUGCUUAACACAUGCAAGUCUUUGGCGAAGCUGUGCUUGCACAGCCUAGCCAAGGCGGACGGGUGAGUAACGCGUAAGGAACUUGCCCUGCAGUCAGGGAUAACAGACGGAAACGACUGAUAAGACCUGGUAAAGUCAGGCGGACUCAUGUCCAGCCUGAUGAAAAGUGGUGCUGCAGGAGAGCCUUGCGUCCUAUUAGCUUGUUGGUGGGGUAACGGCCCACCAAGGCGAUGAUAGGUAGCCGGCCUGAGAGGGUGGACGGCCACAAGGGGACUGAGAUACGGCCCUUACUCCUACGGGAGGCAGCAGUGGGGAAUAUUGGACAAUGGGGGCAACCCUGAUCCAGCAAUUCUGUGUGCACGAUGAAGGUUUUCGGAUUGUAAAGUGCUUUCAGCAGGGAAGAAAAAAAUGACGGUACCUGCAGAAGAAGCGACGGCUAAAUACGUG